rnacentral:rRNA from 1 species
GUAAGUGUUUAAGAGCGUACGGUGGAUGCCUUGGCACCAGGAGCCGAUGAAGGACGUGGGAGGCUGCGAUAUGCCUCGGGGAGCUGUCAACCGAGCUGAGAUCCGAGGAUUUCCGAAUGGGGAAACCCGGCACGAGUGAUGUCGUGUCACCUGCACCUGAAUAUAUAGGGUGUGUGGAGGGAACGUGGGGAAGUGAAACAUCUCAGUACCCACAGGAAGAGAAAACAAUUGUGAUUCCGUGAGUAGUGGCGAGCGAAAGCGGAUGAGGCUAAACCUUGGGCGUGUGAUACCCGGCAGGGGUUGCGUCUUGGGGGUUGUGGGGUUGUUCUUCCUGGUUCUGCCGGACCGGGCGUGAGUCAGAAACCGUGGCAUUAGUCGAACUGGUCUGGGAUGGCCGAUCGUAGAGGGUGAGAGUCCCGUAGACGAAAAUGUGGCGGCUCAUGUGAAUGAUGCCCGAGUAGCAGCGGGCCCGUGAAAUCUGCUGUGAAUCUGCCGGGACCACCCGGUAAGCCUGAAUACUCCCUGGUGACCGAUAGCGGACUAGUACCGUGAGGGAAAGGUGAAAAGUACCCCGGGAGGGGAGUGAAAUAGUACCUGAAACCGUGCGCUUACAAUCCGUCAGGGCCCUGUUGUGGGGUGAUGGCGUGCCUUUUGAAGAAUGAGCCUGCGAGUUAGUGGCAUGUGGCGAGGUUAACCCGUGUGGGGUAGCCGUAGCGAAAGCGAGUCCGAAUAGGGCGUUGAGUCGUGUGUUCUAGACCCGAAGCGGAGUGAUCUACCCAUGGCCAGGGUGAAGCGUCGGUAAGACGUCGUGGAGGCCCGAACCCACUUAGGUUGAAAACUGAGGGGAUGAGUUGUGGGUAGGGGUGAAAGGCCAAUCAAACUCCGUGAUAGCUGGUUCUCCCCGAAAUGCAUUUAGGUGCAGCGUUGCGUGUUUCACAUCGGAGGUAGAGCUACUGGAUGGCCUAGGGGGCCUACAAGCUUACCGAAGUCAGCCAAACUCCGAAUGCCGGUGUGUGAGAGCGUGGCAGUGAGACUGCGGGGGAUAAGCUUCGUAGUCGAGAGGGAAACAGCCCAGAUCGCCGGCUAAGGCCCCUAAGCGUGUACUAAGUGGAAAAGGAUGUGGGGUCGCGAAGACAACCAGGAGGUUGGCUUAGAAGCAGCCACCCUUGAAAGAGUGCGUAAUAGCUCACUGGUCAAGUGAUCCUGCGCCGACAAUGUAGCGGGGCUCAAGUACACCGCCGAAGCCGCGGCAUUCCAGUGUGGCCUGCUUUCGAGCCAGGUGCUGGGAUGGGUAGGGGAGCGUCGUGUCACCGGGGAAGCGGCGGCGUGAGCCAGUCGUGGAGGUGAUGCGAGUGAGAAUGCAGGCAUGAGUAGCGAAAGACGAGUGGGAAACUCGUCCGCCGAAUGACCAAGGGUUCCUGGGCCAGGUUAAUCCGCCCAGGGUGAGUCGGGACCUAAGGCGAGGCCGACAGGCGUAGUCGAUGGACAACGGGUUGAUAUUCCCGUACCCGUGUAUCCGCGCCAAGUGGUGAAUCAUCUGUGCUAAACGUCCAAAUGCGGAUGGACUUCCUUCGGGGAGCCGGAAGUGGCUGCACGUGACCCUGGGUGUAGUAGUCAAGCGAUGGGGUGACGCAGGAAGGUAGCUGGGCCAGUGAGUGGUUGUACUGGUGUAAGCCUGUAGGGUGUGGCAUAGGUAAAUCCGUGUCGCGUGUGCCUGAGAGGUGAUGCGUAGCCGAUUGAGGUGAAUUCAGUGAUCCUAUGCUGCCGAGAAAAGCCUCUAGUGAGUUGGUACACGGCCCGUACCCCAAACCGACACAGGUGGUCAGGUAGAGAAUACCGAGGCGAUCGAGAGAACUGUGGUUAAGGAACUCGGCAAAAUGCCCCCGUAACUUCGGGAGAAGGGGGACCACUGUUGGUGACGGCCCUUUGCGGUUCGAGCUGGUGGUGGUCGCAGAGACCAGAGAGAAGCGACUGUUUACUAAAAACACAGGUCCGUGCGAAGUCGUAAGACGAUGUAUACGGACUGACGCCUGCCCGGUGCCGGAAGGUUAAGAGGACCGGUUAGCCUGUGAGGGCGAAGCUGAGAAUUUAAGCCCCGGUAAACGGCGGUGGUAACUAUAACCAUCCUAAGGUAGCGAAAUUCCUUGUCGGGUAAGUUCCGACCUGCACGAAUGGCGUAACGACUUCUCUGCUGUCUCAACCACAGACUCGGCGAAAUUGCAUUACGAGUAAAGAUGCUCGUUACGCGCGGCAGGACGAAAAGACCCCGGGACCUUCACUAUAGCUUGGUAUUGGUG